ACCUGUUUGCUCGGUAAGCAAACUGCAGGUGGUAUUGUUUGUGCAGAAGGUCUUGGUCUGCACACGUCCUCACAGAAACAGAUGUAUGAUGUCACCACCUCCAUAAAUUGGUUUAAAUCAGGUUAAAAUCUCUGCAUGAAGGAGCAGAUCCAUCAGAAGAACCAAACGGUUCCACAACCUGCUCCAUGUUCAAAUUCCAGAGACUUUUCCAGGAGAGUUGCACAAUCCGAACUGCCCACAUGAACACACAGGAAGUGAACGUUUUCUGCCCUGAAAAUUCCCUGAUCUUAGAGCAGUGAACUCAUCGAGUCCAGUAGAAACCAAGCCCAGGCCUGCCUGACACCCAGAGUGAACUUGUUUCACUGGUCGAAACUCAGAGGGGAAGUCGUUUUUUCAGAAAUAUCCCAUCUAAUAUAUUUUCUUUGUUCUGGUCCAGUAAACCUUGUCUGUGGGUUGCUGAUGGGAAACAUCUGGACCGCUUCAACAAGCUUCUGAUGCUAAUAUUUCAUCCUGUUUGGUAUAUCGGAUCAGAACGCUGUCCUUUCUCUCACAGACCUGUGCUUCCCUGGCUUUGAAGCUGCAAAUCACCUGGAGUCCAGUUUUUUCCCAACGUUCCAGGGCAGUUCUCCUCAGCUGGGUCCAUGACAUUCAGCCAGACUGCCUCAGAGAUAAGGACAGGAGCUCCAUCAGCCAGAGGAGCUGCUGCUCCUCGCAGGACAGAUUCAGCACUGGAGAGUGUUGCUGGCAAGAUGAAUGGUUUCCCUGCUGGACCUGUUACCCUGGCAACCAUGGAUGGAUGGAUACUUUCUGUUGUGGACAUGAGUCUGCAGUUCUUCCCACCAAAACAGCAGAAUUCUGGACUGUAACAUGAUGGUUGUUUUUGAAUUUCAGUUAUCCUCAGCCAGGCUGAUUUAAUCCGGCAAAAUAAAAAGAUACAACAUAUGA